GGCCGUGUGCCCGAGUGGUUGAGGGGCUGGACUGCAAAUCCAGUAACGCGGGUUCGAUUCCCGCCACGGCCUCCG
rnacentral:tRNA from 1 species